rnacentral:rRNA from 1 species
CCUACGGGAGGCAGCAGUGAGGAAUAUUGGUCAAUGGCCGAGAGGCUGAACCAGCCAAGUCGCGUGAGGGAAGACGGCCCUACGGGUUGUAAACCUCUUUUGUCGGGGAGCAAAGCGAACCACGUGUGGUUCAUUGAGAGUACCCGAAGAAAAAGCAUCGGCUAACUCCGUGCCAGCAGCCGCGGUAAUACGGAGGAUGCGAGCGUUGUCCGGAUUGAUUGGGUUUAAGGGGUGCGUAGGCGGUCGGAUAAGUUAGAGGUGAAAUCCCGAGGCUCAACUUCGGAAUUGCCUCUGAUACUGUUCGGCGAGAGAGUAGUUGCGGUAGGCGGAAUGUAUGGUGUAGCGGUGAAAUGCUUAGAGAUCAUACAGAACACCGAUUGCGAAGGCAGCUUACCAAGCUACUUCUGACGUUGAGGCACGAAAGCGUGGGGAGCAAACAGGAUUAGAUACCCCUGGAGUC